CGGACGGGUGAGUAACGCGUGAGGAAUCUGCCGAGAAGUGGGGGAUAGCUCGCCGAAAGGCGAAUUAAUACCGCAUAUGGUCAGGGAGGACAUCCUCUCGACACCAAAGCCGGGGCAACCUGGCGCUUUUUGAUGACCCCGCGGCCUAUCAGCUAGUUGGUGAGGUAACGGCUCACCAAGGCAUUGACGGGUAGCUGGUCUGAGAGGACGACCAGCCACACUGGAACUGAGACACGGUCCAGACACCUACGGGUGGCAGCAGUCGAGAAUUUUUCACAAUGGGGGCAACCCUGAUGGAGCGACGCCGCGUGGAGGAUGAAGGCUUUCGGGUUGUAAACUCCUGUCAUUUGGGAACAAGGUGCAUCGAUUAACUGUCGAUGCAUUGAUAGUACCAGAAGAGGAAGAGACGGCUAACUCUGUGCCAGCAGCCGCGGUAAUACAGAGGUCUCAAGCGUUGUUCGGAUUCAUUGGGCGUAAAGGGUGCGUAGGUGGCGGGGUAAGUCAGGUGUGAAAUUUCGGAGCUUAACUCCGAAACUGCAUUUGAUACUGCCUUGCUUGAGGACUGGAGAGGAGAUUGGAAUUCACGGUGUAGCAGUGAAAUGCGUAGAUAUCGUGAGGAAGGCCAGUGGCGAAGGCGGAUCUCUGGACAGUUCCUGACACUGAGGCACGAAGGCCAGGGGAGCAAAAGGGAUUAGAUACCCCUGUAGUC
rnacentral:rRNA from 1 species